AUUGAACGCUGGCGGCAUGCCUUACACAUGCAAGUCGAACGGUAACGGGCCUUCGGGUGCCGACGAGUGGCGAACGGGUGAGUAAUGUAUCGGAACGUACCUUUCAGUGGGGGAUAACGUAGCGAAAGUUACGCUAAUACCGCAUAUUCUGUGAGCAGGAAAGCAGGGGAUCGCAAGACCUUGCGCUGAUUGAGCGGCCGAUAUCAGAUUAGCUAGUUGGUGAGGUAAAGGCUCACCAAGGCGACGAUCUGUAGCGGGUCUGAGAGGAUGAUCCGCCACACUGGAACUGAGACACGGUCCAGACUCCUACGGGAGGCAGCAGUGGGGAAUUUUGGACAAUGGGGGCAACCCUGAUCCAGCCAUGCCGCGUGAGUGAAGAAGGCCUUCGGUGUAA
rnacentral:rRNA from 1 species